UACGUAGGGUGCAAGCGUUAUCCGGGAUUAUUGGGCGUAAAGAGCUCGUAGGCGGUUUGUCACGUCUGCUGUGAAAACUGGAGGCUCAACCUCCAGCCUGCAGUGGGUACGGGCAGACUAGAGUGCGGUAGGGGAGAUUGGAAUUCCUGGUGUAGCGGUGGAAUGCGCAGAUAUCAGGAGGAACACCGAUGGCGAAGGCAGAUCUCUGGGCCGUAACUGACGCUGAGGAGCGAAAGCAUGGGGAGCGAACAGG
rnacentral:rRNA from 1 species